GGGAUGCAGAGAUGUGAGGAUGUGGGACAUGAUCCUUUGUAGGAAGAGUGGUCAACUAUGCCUAGCUCUCCCAGAUGUGGAAAGUUAAGUUUGGAUUACCCUUCUCCCCUCUCCCCUGUGUCUUUUGUCUCCUAGAAUCCAUGUCCAGAAUCGAGUGCCUCUUUUCUUUCCAGGAUCACUUUUUGGUGGAUUACAGGGAUGAUGGUGCAGGGCUACCGCCAGCCCCUGAAGAGCAGUGACCUCUGGUCAUUGAAUAAAGAGGACACGUCAGAAGAAGUGGUACCUGUGCUGGUGAAUAACUGGAAGAAGGAAUGUGUUAAGUCGAGGAAGCAGCCUGUACGGAUUGUGUAUGCCCCUCCCAAAGAUCCCACCAAGCCUAAGGGAAGUUCUCAGUUGGAUGUGAAUGAGGAAGUGGAGGCACUGAUUGUCAAGUCAUCCCACAAGGACCGGGACCCCUCUCUGUUCAAGGUGUUGUACAAGACCUUUGGGCCCUACUUCCUCAUGAGCUUCCUGUACAAGGCCCUUCAUGACCUGAUGAUGUUUGUGGGCCCUGAGAUCUUGGAAUUGAUUAUCAACUUUGUGAAUGACAGGGAGGCCCCUGACUGGCAGGGCUACUUGUACACAGCACUGCUGUUUGUCAGCGCCUGUCUGCAGACACUGGCACUCCACCAGUACUUUCAUAUCUGCUUCGUCACCGGCAUGCGCAUCAAGACUGCUGUGGUGGGCGCUGUUUACCGCAAGGCUCUUGUGAUCACCAAUUCAGCUAGAAAAUCGUCCACAGUUGGAGAGAUUGUCAACCUCAUGUCCGUGGAUGCCCAGCGCUUCAUGGACUUGGCCACGUAUAUUAACAUGAUCUGGUCAGCCCCUCUGCAAGUCACCCUAGCCCUCUACUUCCUGUGGCUGGUGUGUGUUUUCCCUUGGUCUUCUUCUUGUGCAGGCAGGGAUGGCCUUGACUAGGCACUGACAGGGAGGGCAUGGGUGGGAAAGAAUGUAUCUUGCAUUCAUUUACAUUUUAUUUUCUGGGCUAUUUGCUAAUUUCUGAUAAUUUUUUUUUUUUUUUGGAUUUCAGCCAGUCAUGCCCUCUUGGGUCCACUGGCCGUUUUGUUUUGUUUUGUUUUGUUUUGUUUUUAAGAUUUAUUUAUUAAGUACACUGUAGCUGUCUUCAGACACACCAGAAAAGGGCAUCAGAUCUCAUUACAGAUGGUUGUGAGCCAACAUGUGGUUGCUGGGAUUUGAACUCAGGACCUCUGGAAGAGCAGCCAGUGCUCUUAACCGCUGAGCCAUCUCUCCAGCCCAAUUUCUGAUAAUUUUAUUCCUUUCAUGUAUCAUUAGGGAUUAGUUUCGUUUUGUGAGUUGGUAGGUGUGCAUUGUCAUGUCUUUGUCUAUGUGGGCUAUAGGUGCUCUGUGUGUGUGUGUGUGUGUGUGUGUGUGUGUGUGUGUGUGUGUGUGUGUGUGUGUGUGUGUAUGAAGUAGACCUCAGG
rnacentral:lncRNA from 14 species